CCGGUUGAGGUCCUUUUAGUGCAGAGGCAGUGCCUUUGCAGUCCUCUGGGUAUGGAAGAUAAGGAACGGAGGGCGAGCAGUCACUGGGCGGGGUCCCAUUGACAAGCAGGAGAGGGUGAGCUGCCAGCUGUCUCUCACUCACCUGUGGAAUGGCAGCCUGUGCGUUCAGCGCUGGAACAAAGAGCAAACGCGUGAUGUCACUGUCUAUCUAGAACUGUGUAUGGUAAUUCGAUUUUAAAAACUUGCGUACGACGCUUGGAUACGAUGCUGUGAUAUUGAAUGCUUUAAAAUACACCUGAAGUAAACGAAACUUCUAAAAAAUACUUCGCCACAUUCCCAUUGUGCCUGGAAGCAUAGACCGUAUCCGAAUAGGUGCACCUGUCUACUGAGUAACUUGUAACUAUGCAACUUGUAUACUCAAUAGCGGGCAAGUAGCAUAUGCAAAAGCAGACGCAAGAAUAUGAAAGGAUACGAACGUGUAUGGCAACCGAUUUAAGGUGUGCCAGGAAUUGUCGAAUCGGGAGCCAACUUCAAUCUCGUUAACUUGACUUACCAGAGGGGGGUGUCGGUGGCGACGCUGGCUGACUGGGCUCGGGCGUUGUGGUGGGCUUGUGAAAACUGACGUCUAUCCCUUGGUCUCCGGUGCCCGGGGUGGCACGGAUGGUGCAGUGGGUAGCACUGCUGCCUCACAGCAAGGAGGUCCUUGGUUUGAAUCCCCGUCGGCGGGGGCCUCUCUGUGUGGAGUUUGCAUGUUCUCCCCGUGUUUGCAUGGGUUUCCUCCGGGCACUCCGGUUUCCUCCCACAGUCCAAAGACAUGCAGGUUAGGCUGAUUGGAGAGUUGCUCGUAGGUAUGAGUAUGUGAGUGAAUGGUGUGUGUGCCCUACGAUGGACUGGCGACCUGCCCAGGGUGUAUUCCUGCCUUUUGCCCAAUGUAUGCUGGGAUAGGCUCAAGCCCCCCUUUGACCCUGUUCAGGAUAAGCGGGUUAAGAUCAUGGAUGGAUGUUUUUACCCAGAACCGGCAAGGGGGAAGGGUGUUUGUGUUUGUUUUAGUUUAAGCUCUCGCUCUCGCUCUCUUUCUCGCUUUCUGUCUUUGCUCUGCAAACUGUAUAAAUAAAAUACUGGUGCAAUCCAGUUAGCACAUC